rnacentral:tRNA from 1 species
GUGGUUGUAGCUCAACGGUAGAGUGCUCACCUAGCACGUGUGGGGUGCAGGGUUCAAUUCUCAGCACCACA